UGGGGAAUAUUGCACAAUGGGCGCAAGCCUGAUGCAGCGACGCCGCGUGAGGGAUGACGGCCUUCGGGUUGUAAACCUCUUUCAGUAGGGAAGAAGCGAAAGUGACGGUACCUGCAGAAGAAGCACCGGCUACCUACGUGCCAGCAGCCGCGGUAAUACGUAGGGUGCGAGCGUUAUCCGGAAUUAUUGGGCGUAAAGAGCUCGUAGGCGGUUUGUCGCGUCUGUCGUGAAAGUCCGGGGCUUAACCCCGGAUCUGCGGUGGGUACGGGCAGACUAGAGUGCAGUAGGGGAGACUGGAAUUCCUGGUGUAGCGGUGGAAUGCGCAGAUAUCAGGAGGAACACCGAUGGCGAAGGCAGGUCUCUGGGCUGUAACUGACGCUGAGGAGCGAAAGCAUGGGGAGCGAACA
rnacentral:rRNA from 1 species